rnacentral:lncRNA from 1 species
CAGGGUCUGGGAGAGCUUUUGGGGGUGUAUUGGGGUCUGGGACAGCCUCUUGGGGUGUAUUGGGGUCUGUUUGAAUCUCUUGGGACCAUAUUGGGGUCUGGGAGAGCUUUUGGGGGUGCAUUGGGGUCUGGGGGAGCCUUUUGGGGUGUAUUGGGGUCUGGGGGAGACCCUUGGGACCGUAUUGGGGUCUGGGGGAGCCUUUUUGGGGUGUAUUGGGGUCUGGGAGAGCUUUUUGGGGUGUAUUUGGGUCUGGGGGAGCCUUUUGGGGUGUAUUGGGGUCUGGGAGAGCGUUUUGGGGUGUAUUGGGGUCUGGGGGAGCUUUUUGGGGUGUAUUGGGGUCUGGGAGAGCUUUUUGGGGUGUAUUGGGGUCUGGGAGAGCUUUUUGGGGUGUGUUGGGGUCUGGGACAGCCUUUAGGGGUGUAUUGGGGUCUGGGAGAGCUUUUUGGGGUGUAUUUGGGUCUGGGGGAGCCUUUGGGGGUGCAUUGGGGUCUGGGAGAGCCUUUUGGGGGCAUUUCAGGGUCUGGGAGAGCCUCUUGGGAAUGUUUUGGUGUGUGGAUGAAUCCUUUGGGACCAUAUUGGGGUCUGGGAGAGCUUUUGGAGGUGUAUUGGGGUCUGGGGGAGCCUUUUGGGGGCAUUUCAGGGUCUGGGAGAGCUUUUUUGGGGUGUAUUGGGGUCUGGUUGAAUCUCUUGGGACCAUAUUGGGGUUUGGGGGAGCCUCUUGGGGUGUAUUGGGGUCUGGGGGAGGUUCCUGUGAACAUUUUGAGGUCUUUGGGGAGUCCCUUUGGAAAGUUUUGGGAUCAGGGGGAGCCUCCUGGGAAUGUUUUGGGGUCUGGAUGAAUCCUUUGGGACCAUUUUGGGGUCUUUGGGGAGUCCCUUGAGAACAUUUUGGGGUCUGGGAGAGCCUUUUGGGGACAUUUUGGGGUCUUGGGGAGCCCCUUGGCAAAGUAAUAGGGUCUGGGGGAGUCCCUUGGGACCAUUUUGGGGUCCGGGAGAGCCUCUUGGGAAUGU